rnacentral:rRNA from 1 species
AACGAACGCUGGCGGCAGGCCUAACACAUGCAAGUCGAGCGCCCCGCAAGGGGAGCGGCGGACGGGUGAGUAACGCGUGGGAACGUACUCUUUUCUGCGGAAUAGCCCAGGGAAACUUGGAUUAAUACCGCAUACGCCCUUCGGGGGAAAGAUUUAUCGGAGAAGGAUCGGCCCGCGUUGGAUUAGGUAGUUGGUGGGGUAAUGGCCUACCAAGCCGACGAUCCAUAGCUGGUUUGAGAGGAUGAUCAGCCACACUGGGACUGAGACACGGCCCAGACUCCUACGGGAGGCAGCAGUGGGGAAUCUUCGGCAAUGGGCGCAAGCCUGACCGAGCCAUGCCGCGUGAGCGAUGAAGGCCUUAGGGUUGUAAAGCUCUUUCGCCAGGGAUGAUAAUGACAGUACCUGGUAAAGAAACCCCGGCUAACUCCGUGCCAGCCGCCGCAGUAAUAC